CAUGGGGGUUGCGAGCGUUGUCCGGAAUUACUAGGCGUAAAGGGCAGGCAGGCGGAUCCAUAAGUUUAUCGUUUAAGGCGUCGGCUUAACCGGCGUAGGGCGGUAGAUACUGUGGAUCUGGAAUGCGGUUGGGGAAGACAGAAUUCCUGGUGUAGCGGUGGAAUGCGCAGAGAUCAGGAGGAAUACCGAAGGCGAAGGCAGUCUUCCAAGCCGUUAUUGACGCUCAACUGCGAAGGUGUGGGUAUCAAACAGGAUUAGAUAUCCCGGUAGUCCCU
rnacentral:rRNA from 1 species